UCUCAUUAACGUUAGGGUUCCGUUGAAAUCGUUGAUGUUAGGGGUUCCGCCCUCAACGUGUCUAUGUUCAAAACUUCUGCUUAACCUUACCCCUAUGAUGAGAUUUCGAAACAUCAGCAUAUGGAGCUUCUCUCACGAAUCGGAGGAUUAUGAACCCUAAUUUCUAGCAAAUUAGUCUUCAACAUAUGCAUAUGUAGAUAAUACAUAUAUGAUUCUGAUCUAGGCAGCGCUUGAUGGGGGUCAUUCACAUAUGAAUGAAUGAAUAUUUAUUGUUCAUUGAUCACAUGGAAUACCAGCAGAUAGUGAAAAUAGAGCCCAGGUUGGAUUUGGAAGUGUCUGCGACACUCAAUUAACCACUACCACAGGAACUUGAAUCAGUCCAGCUAUGUAAAUCACUCUAUCAUUUCAGGCCUCUUGCAUGUGAAAGGUUUGUUCUUAGCAACACUACCAAAAAGUUAACAUAUUUUCUGUAUUAUCAACUACUGCAUUUGCUCUUCUUUUUUGUAACGGUUGUACACACCUUUAAUGCAACUAAUUCACGGGGUCAAUCCCCUGCAAUAGUCAACGAUCAUAUAGUCAUAAUUGGUCAAGAUAGGCUCAUUAUUGGAGGAUAGCCCACAAAUGCCAAACGCUAGUCGGGUUUAUGUGCUAAAACUGACUGGCAGAAGAAGGCUAAAUUCUUCACCGUUCGUACCCAAGUGUUGGUAAUAAUAGCUUUAUAAGUAUUAAAAGGAGGACUGGAAACAUGUAUGCUCCUUGCAUAAUCAAGAAUACCCGGUGAACAUAUUCUUAACAUGUGUAUGCUGCUUGGGUGUGAUUCACAUUUCCAUAUUCACUGUGCACAUUCUACCCAUGACUCUACCUCCGCGUGGGAUAUAUUGGGCUUGUUUGUUUCUUUAUAUUUUAUAGUCACUGUAUCAGAACUUCACGAUCCAAGGCUUGGUCGUGAGGCUUAAAUCAGUGAUAUAACAACCUUAGAGUUUCCAAAAAAUCUUAAAAGCAAAAGUUGGCUUGGAAGAUGGGGAUCACUCAAACAAUA